CCCUCACACACACAGCGCUCCACACACACUCCACACCCAUACACACAAACACAUACACUGCACCCCUCAAUGCAGUAUGCACGUGUGUGUGUAUUCAGCAGUGUGUGUGUAUUCAGCAGUCUGUGUGUACUCAGCAGUCUGUGUGUGUACUCAGCAGUCUGUCUGUGUGUGUAUUCAGCAGUGUAUGUAUUUAGCAGUGUGUGUAUUCAGC